GACGAACGCUGGCGGCGUGCUUAACACAUGCAAGUCGAACGGAAAGGCCCUGCGCUUGUGGCGUGCUCGAUAGGCGAACGGGUGAGAAACACGCGAGUAACCUGUCCCUGUAUUUGGGAUAACUUCACGAAACUCGGGCGAAUAUCGGAUAGGAGAUCCUGCAGCACGGGGGGGGUUGGAAAGUUUCGGCGGUUGGGGCUGGUCUGGCGGGUUAUCAGCUUGAUGGUCGGGUAGUGGCGUACCAAGGUUUCGACGGGUAGCCGGCCUGAGAGGGCGACCGGGCACAUUGGGACUGAGGUACGGCGCAGACUCGUACGGGAGGCAGCAGUGGGGAAUAUGGCGCAAUGGGCGGGAGCCUGAUGCAGAAACGCCGCGUGCGGGAUGACGGCCUUCGGGUUGUAAACCGCUUUCGCCUGUGACGAAGCGUGAGUGACGGUAAUGGGUAAAGAAGCAACGGCUAACUACGUG
rnacentral:rRNA from 1 species